AGGACGAACGCUGGCGGCGUGCUUAACACAUGCAAGUCGAGCGGAAAGGCCCUUCGGGGUACUCGAGCGGCGAACGGGUGAGUAACACGUGAGCAACCUGCCCUUAGCUCCGGGAUAGCUCCGGGAAACCGGAAUUAAUACCGGAUAUGACCUAGGCCGACAUCGGCUGUGGUGGAAAGUUUUUCGGCUGGGGAUGGACUCGCGGCCUAUCAGCUUGUUGGUGGGGUAAUGGCCUACCAAGGCGACGACGGGUAGCCGGCCUGAGAGGGCGACCGGCCACACUGGGACUGAGACACAGCCCAGACUCCUACGGGAGGCAGCAGUGGGGAAUCUUGCGCAAUGGGCGAAAGCCUGACGCAGCGACGCCGCGUGGGGGAUGAAGGCCUUCGGGUUGUAAACCCCUUUCAGCAGGGACGAAGCGAAAGUGACGGUACCUGCAGAAGAAGCGCCGGCUAACUACGUGCCAGCAGCCGC
rnacentral:rRNA from 1 species